rnacentral:misc_RNA from 1 species
AUAAAUUUAUCUCACACUGAUCUUGUAACAAAGAUCGACAACAAACACCGAAACACGGUGACAUUCAUAAUUACAUAACAGAAAAAUCCUGCCUGCAAGGUCAGUAGCCAACCUUCUGCUCUCCGCCCACGUUACAUUCUUCCAGCAAAGUUAUGAGGUCGUGCUCAGGGGCGCUGAUCGACGGCAAUAUGGCGCGUCUACGAGGCCCUGCCGGCGGUUUGGUUCCACUGGCUUCCGAUUCGAGCGGCGAUCUUUCAUUCACGACAGGCAAGUCAGACACCACCAUCCUUGCGCUUGCAGAAGACAAUCGUUCCUUCCAUACUCUUGCGUCAUUCAGUAUUGAACGUUCAGGUACUGGGCAUUUAACAGGUUGAUCUCGGUCGACAGGUUCGGCAGGCCGCUCGACUGGCUUAAAUUCGACAGCAGCUUCAAUACCAUGAGCAGGAGAGGUAGGACUUGUAUCUGUAACCUCCAUAUUCUCGGGUGACAUUUCCCGCAAUACAACCGCACUCUGAGCUCGCCGGUGGCCGCUCCGGCUACUGGAGAACCGAGACAAGAUUCCCG